rnacentral:rRNA from 1 species
UGGGGAAUAUUGCGCAAUGGGGGCAACCCUGACGCAGCCAUGCCGCGUGUGUGAAGAAGGCCUUAGGGUUGUAAAGCACUUUCAAUUGGGAAGAAAAGCUCGUGGUUAAUAACUGCGAGCCCUGACAUUACCUUUAGAAGAAGCACCGGCAAACUCCGUGCCAGCAGCCGCGGUAAUACGGAGGGUGCGAGCGUUAAUCGGAAUUACUGGGCGUAAAGCGCGCGUAGGCGGUUUGUUAAGUCAGCUGUGAAAGCCCCGGGCUCAACCUGGGAACUGCAGUUGAUACUGGCCGACUAGAGUACGAGAGAGGGAGGUAGAAUUCCACGUGUAGCGGUGAAAUGCGUAGAUAUGUGGAGGAAUACCAGUGGCGAAGGCGGCCUCCUGGCUCGAUACUGACGCUGAGGUGCGAAAGCGUGGGGAGCAAACAGG